UACGUAGGGGGCGAGCGUUGUCCGGAUUUAUUGGGCGUAAAGAGCGUGUAGGCGGCUAGGUAGGUCUGCUGUGAAAACUCGAGGCUCAACCUCGAGACGUCGGCGGAAACCAUCUGGCUAGAGUCCGGAAGAGGAGAGUGGAAUUCCUGGUGUAGCGGUGAAAUGCGCAGAUAUCGGGAGGAACACCAAUGGCGAAGGCAGCUUGCUGGGACGGUACUGACGCUGAGACGCGAAAGCGUGGGGAGCGAACAGG
rnacentral:rRNA from 1 species